UGGGGAAUUUUGGACAAUGGGCGAAAGCCUGAUCCAGCAAUGCCGCGUGUGUGAAGAAGGCCUUCGGGUUGUAAAGCACUUUUGUCCGGAAAGAAAUCCUCUGGGUUAAUACCUCGGGGGGAUGACGGUACCGGAAGAAUAAGCACCGGCUAACUACGUGCCAGCAGCCGCGGUAAUACGUAGGGUGCAAGCGUUAAUCGGAAUUACUGGGCGUAAAGCGUGCGCAGGCGGUUUUGUAAGACGGAUGUGAAAUCCCCGGGCUUAACCUGGGAACUGCAUUCGUGACUGCAAGGCUAGAGUAUGGCAGAGGGGGGUAGAAUUCCACGUGUAGCAGUGAAAUGCGUAGAGAUGUGGAGGAAUACCGAUGGCGAAGGCAGCCCCCUGGGCCAAUACUGACGCUCAUGCACGAAAGCGUGGGGAGCAAACAGGAUUAGAUACCCUGGUAAUCCACGCCCUAAACGAUGUCAACUAGUUGUUGGGGAUUCAUUUCCUUAGUAACGUAGCUAACGCGUGAAGUUGACCGCCUGGGGAGUACGGUCGCAAGAUUAAAACUCAAAUGAAUUGAC
rnacentral:rRNA from 1 species